ensembl:lncRNA
AUGGGAUGGGAUGCGAUGGGAUGGGAUGGGAUGGGAUGGGAUAGGAUGGGAUGAGAUAGGAUGGGAUGGGACGAGAUGGGAUGGGAUGGGAUGCGAUGGGAUGGGAUGCAAUGGGAUGGGAUGCGAUGGGAUGGGAUGGGAUGGGAUGCGAUGCGAUGGGAUGGGAUGGGAUGGGAUAGGAUGGGAUGAGAUAGGAUGGGAUGGGACAAGAUGGGAUGGGAUGGGAUGGGAUGGGAUGCGAUGGGAUGGGAUGGGAUGGGAUGGGAUGGGAUGAGAUAGGAUGGGAUGGGACGAGAUGGGAUGGGAUGGAUGGGAUGGGAUGGGAUGGGAUGGGAUGGGAUGGGAUGGGAUGGGAUGGGAUGCGAUGGGAUGGCAUGGCAUGGCAUGGCAUGGCAUGGCAUGGCAUGGCAUGAGAUAGGAUGGCAUGGGAUGAGAUGGGAUGGGAUGGAAUGGGAUAGGCUAGGAUCAGUAUGGUGACAUUCACCUGCAUUAUGCUGCCAAGCUGGGCAGGUUCCUUCUGUGACAUGAGCUGAAAACUUUCAGAAAAGAAAAUGAUGGGAUGAGAUGAGAUGGUAUGGAAUGAGAUUGGAUGGAAUGGGAUGGGAUGGAGUGGGAUGGGAUGGGAUGGGAUGGGAUGGAAUGGGAUGGAAGAACAGAAUCAGAAUAGAACAGAACAGAACAGAAAUGAAAAAACAGAAUAUGAGCAAAAUAGAAUGGAGUGGAACGGACGGGAAUGGAACAGAACAGAACGAUGUAAAACGAAAUAAAAAUGAAUAAAAUAAACGCAGUAAUUAAAAAACCCCAUAACACAGCACAACACAACGGCGAGAGCUCCUUCCACACACACCCAACCCCCUCAUCCCCCGGGACCCGCGGUGGGGCCGUUCAGCACCUGCGUGUAUGUGGGUGUGUGUGUGUGUGUGUGUGUGGUGUGUGUGUGUGUGUGUGUGUGUGUGUGUGGUGUGUGUGUGUGUGCGCGGCGCGGGGCCGGGCCGAGAGUGGGG